UAAUACGAAGGGGGCUAGCGUUGCUCGGAAUUACUGGGCGUAAAGGGCGCGUAGGCGGACAGUUUAGUCAGAGGUGAAAGCCCAGGGCUCAACCUUGGAAUUGCCUUUGAUACUGGCUGUCUUGAGUACGGGAGAGGUGAGUGGAACUCCGAGUGUAGAGGUGAAAUUCGUAGAUAUUCGGAAGAACACCAGUGGCGAAGGCGACUCACUGGCUCGUUACUGACGCUGAGGCGCGAAAGCGUGGGGAGCAAACAGGAUUAGAUACCCUGGUAGUCCACGCCGUAAACGAUGAGUGCUAGUUGUCGGCAUGCAUGCAUGUCGGUGACGCAGCUAACGCAUUAAGCACUCCGCCUGGGGAGUACGGUCGCAAGAUUAAAACUUAAAUGAAUUGACGG
rnacentral:rRNA from 1 species